GACGAAGAACGUAGCGAAAUGCGAUACUUGGUGUGAAUUGCAGAAUCCCGUGAACCAUCGAGUCUUUGAACGCAAGUUGCGCCCGAAGCCAUUAGGCCGAGGGCACGCCUGCCUGGGCGUCACACGUCGUUGCCCCCCCAUCUACUCCUUCGGGAUUGCGGGGGGCGGAUGAUGGCCUCCCGUGCGCCUCGCCGCGCGGUUGGCAUAAAUGCCAAGUCCUCGGCGACGCACGCCACGACAAUCGGUGGUUGCGAAACCUCGGUUGCCCGUCGUGUGCGGUCGUCGCGCAUCGAGGGCUCGAAAAAAUUGCCGGGUUCCGGCUCGGCUUUCAACGCGACCCCAGGUCAGGCGGGGUUACCCGCUGAAUUUAAGCAUAUCAAUAAGCGGAGGA
rnacentral:misc_RNA from 1 species